AAGAGGGGGACCUUCGGGCCUCUCGCGUCAAGAUUAGCCCAGGUGGGAUUAGCUAGUUGGUGAGGUAAAGGCUCACCAAGGCGACGAUCCCUAGCUGGUCUGAGAGGAUGAUCAGCCACACUGGAACUGAGACACGGUCCAGACUCCUACGGGAGGCAGCAGUGGGGAAUAUUGCACAAUGGGCGCAAGCCUGAUGCAGCCAUGCCGCGUGUGUGAAGAAGGCCUUCGGGUUGUAAAGCACUUUCAGUCGUGAGGAAGGCGGGUACGUUAAUAGCGUAUUCGUUUGACGUUAGCGACAGAAGAAGCACCGGCUAACUCCGUGCCAGCAGCCGCGGUAAUACGGAGGGUGCGAGCGUUAAUCGGAAUUACUGGGCGUAAAGCGCAUGCAGGUGGUUAGUUAAGUCAGAUGUGAAAGCCCGGGGCUCAACCUCGGAACUGCAUUUGAAACUGGCUGACUAGAGUACUGUA
rnacentral:rRNA from 1 species